UCCAUUAAUUUAUCGAAAUAACUCAUAGUGCUUCAAAUUUGAAGCUGUCAUCUCUCUCGACUCUCUUUUCGUCAUUUUCCGCUCAGUAUACAAAAGCGACAAUUGUCAUUUUUUUUGUUCCGGAUUUGUUCGGUGGUGCCUCGGAAUUAACUUUUUGCAGAUUUUGCCGUGAAGUUCCUGCGUUUAUGCAGACAGCAAUAUGGAACCGGAAGAUAAAUUGCCAGUUUGGGCACUCCCCGACGAGCCCCGAGCAAUCCCCAUGAUUGGCAGGAAAAAUAUGCCGCAAUGUCUAUAGCUCAUCUCGAUGGCUGCGCAUCACAAUUCAUUGGCUGGUUAUUGUCAAUAUUUUAAAAUCCUCUAUGUCAAUUUUCUAAAAUCCUAUGUGAAGUUUAAAAUAAACAAACAAAAAUAAUA